rnacentral:rRNA from 1 species
UGUACUUGCGGGUAGAGGGGGAAAGGUGCUAUGGCACCGCCUUAAGAUGAGCCUGCGUCCCAUUAGUUAGUUGGUGGGGUAAAGGCCUACCAAGGCGACGAUGGGUAGCCGGCCUGAGAGGGUGAUCGGCCACACUGGGACUGAGACACGGCCCAGACUCCUACGGGAGGCAGCAGCUAAGAAUCUUCCGCACUGGACGAAAGUCUGACGGAGCGACGCCGCGUGAACGAAGAAGGCCGGAAGGUUGUAAAGUUCUUUUGCGGGUGAAGAAUAAGGCGAGGAGGGAAUGCCUCGCUGAUGACGUUAGCCUGUGAAUAAGCCCCGGCUAAUUACGUGCCAGCAGCCGCGGUAACACGUAAGGGGCGAGCGUUGUUCGGAAUUAUUGGGCGUAAAGGGCGUGUAGGCUGUUUUGUAAGCCUGGUGUGAAAGUGCACGGCUUAACUGUGUAUGUGCGCUGGGAACUGCAAGACUAGAGUCCGUAAGGGGGAGUUAGAAUUCCUGGUGUAGGGUGAAAUCUGUAGAUAUCAGGAAGAAUACCGGUGGCGAAGGCGACCUCCUGGUCCUGGACUGACGCUGAGGCGCGAAAGCGUGGGGAGCGAACAGGAUUAGAUACCCUGGUAGUCCACGCUGUAAACGAUGUGCACUAGGUGUUGGGGCAAGAGCUUCAGUGCCGAAGCGAACGCGAUAAGUGCACCGCCUGGGGAGUAUGCUCGCAAGGGUGAAACUCAAAGGAAUUGACGGGGGCCCGCACAAGCGGUGGAGCAUGUGGUUUAAUUCGAUGAUACGCGAGGAACCUUACCAGGGCUUGACAUAUACCGGGAGCCGUGAGAGAUCACGGUGCCCCUUCGGGGCCGGUAUACAGGUUCUGCAUGGCUGUCGUCAGCUCGUGCUGUGAAGUGUUGGGUUAAGUCCCGCAACGAGCGCAACCCCUACUGUCUGUUGCCAACAGGUGAAGCUGGGGACUCAGACGGAACUGCCGGUGACAAACCGGAGCAAGGUGGGGACGACGUCAAGUCAUCAUGGCCCUUAUGUCCUGGGCUACACACGUGCUACAAUGGCCGGUACAGAGUGAGGCGAAACCGCGAGGUGGAGCAAAUCACAGAAAACCGGUCUCAGUUCGGAUCGGAGUCUGAAACCCGACUUCGUGAAGGUGGAAUCGCUAGUAAUCGCGCAUCA